AACGAACGCUGGCGGCAUGCCUAACACAUGCAAGUCGAACGAGACCUUCGGGUCUAGUGGCGCACGGGUGCGUAACGCGUGGGAACCUGCCCUUAGGUUCGGAAUAACUCCCCGAAAGGGGUGCUAAUACCGGAUAAUGUCUUCGGACCAAAGAUUUAUCGCCUUUGGUUGGGCCCACGUUGGAUUAGCUAGUUGGUAGGGUAAAAGCCUACCAAGGCGACGAUCCAUAGCUGGGCUGAGAGGAUGAUCAGCCACACUGGGACUGAGACACGGCCCAGACUCCUACGGGAGGAAGCAAUGGGGAAUAUUGGACAAUGGGCGAGAGCCUGAUCCAGCAAUGCCGCGUGAGUGAUGAAGGCGUUAGGGUUGUAAAGCUCUUUUAACCGGGAUGAUAAUGACAGUACCGGGAGAAUAAGCUCCGGCUAACUCCGUG
rnacentral:rRNA from 1 species